rnacentral:rRNA from 1 species
CAAUAGCGUAUAUUAAAGUUGUUGCGGUUAAAAAGCUCGUAGUUGGAUUUCUGCUGAGAACGACCGGUCCGCCCUCUGGGUGUGUAUCUGGCUCUUUCUUGGCAUCUUCUUGGUGAACGUUGCUGCACUUGACUGUGUGGAGCGCUACCCAGGACUUUUACUUUGAGUAAAUUAGAGUGUUCAAAGCAAGCUUACGCUCUGAAUAUAAUAGCAUGGGAUAACACGACAGGACUCUGGCCUAUCGUGUUGGUCUAUAGGACCAGAGUAAUGAUUAAGAGGGACAGUCGGGGGCAUUCGUAUUCCGUUGUCAGAGGUGAAAUUCUUGGAUUUACGGAAGACGAACAUCUGCGAAAGCAUUUGCCAAGGAUGUUUUCAUUGA